CGCGAAGCAACGCUCUGAUCUGCGUCAGAGGAACAACGCGAUUUGACGUCAUCUGUGAACACCUCCGCCAGAGGCAGUGCUUCACACCUUUACACCAACAAAGUCACCUGUGACCCCGGAUGACCCGCCCGGCAUGUAUACGUUCCGGUGUCGCCCUGAGAUCAGUCCUAUUUCGUAUUCUCGCUACUCUGGCAUCCAAACUUGAACGAGCUAAUUCUCUAACAUUGAGGCGUGUUUCGGCUUUCGCGUGUCGCCUUGCGACCAUCGGUCGGACCUGCGGACCUCCCGGCCUCCAAAGGCUGCGGCAAGCUGCCCCUCUUGAGAGGGAAGGACGCGCUUCGCCGGUCUGCUUCGCGGUCCACCCGAAGAGCGAAGACUGCGAUCGGUGAGGUCCAUUCCGAUUAUUUUCAACUCCGCGGUUCCACGGUUGGCAGAUUACUGGGGAUACUAAUUUAACGUUGGUUAGAUCGUACCGUUACUGUCACAACCAAGGGCGUCCCGGUGCGUUUCGCUUAACAAGCGGUUCAUAAAUGGACGGAAACAUAUAUAUUCACAUAAUUUCUGCUGUAUAUGGUUUGCAAGCUUGUAACGCCUAAAUACCGACUGAUGCGUUACUAGUUGACUAGGUCAACAGUAGCACGCUGUUUGUCACAGAUGCCGUUAGUCCUAUAAUCCAGAUUACAUUCAGUUGUUUGGUAAACACUGCGGCCAGGCUCCACAGAAGCAGAGUAUUCCCGUUGGACAUUAAUAUCUGCAGAGAUUUCCUAGUAGGCUGGUUUUGCUUUCGUUCGGCUUGUUCCCCACAGUGGCAGAUUUCUCCCGCUCAGGCUGACUGGUGGGACGCCGACAUCUGCAGAGAUUCCCCAGUGAAGAGUGUCCUCACUCGUCUUCCUCUGUAGGAUUGGGUUUAUUCCAAACGCCGGGCCACAGAGGCCGCAGGGGCUCCCUCAAAAAGGGCCAGCAAGCUGUCCUCGGAUGUAUUUUCAUUCAUCCAUGUACACAGAAAUACGCAUUAAAAUCGGUUCACGGUUUGAUGCAAUACAGUUGAUAAUGUAGGUAAUAAUAAAGCUAAAAAUAUAGUUCAAUCAAAGUGUUUUAUCGUCACACACUCUCUGAUAUUGAUUUUCCACGUAUUGUGUUGCUUGAGUGAACACAGACAGUCCAAUGAGACGCAGUGUAAACGUGUUCACAUCUCCACCAGUUGGUGGCAGAAUACGUGUAUUCAAAGCAUAGAUUUAAUUAUAUUAAACUGUUCAUUUUAUUUAUCUAGGUUAUUACAGACAUAUUUUAUGCAGUUUAUUUUAUGUGAUUUUUAUGGUUCAUUUGCAACCAUUGUUGUAUACAUCUUGUUAUAUGUAUUUCAUGGACGAGGAAACGUGUUUAUUAAGCAAUACGUAAUGGCAGUUUAUGAAUAGCAUUCCGUAACGUCCUGUCUUCAUGCAUGUUUUAGCUGCCCAAUGGCCAAUCUAGAUUGCCCGCAGAAGGCGGGUCUAAGAAAAACUCACCAAUUUAAAUCUGCUUUUAACUUGUAAUCUAAAUGAAAUCCGAAUCCCAAGCCAUAUGGAAUCAGACCGUUAUCUGGGCGUAACGUUGUUUCGUUUGAAACUAGCCAUUGGGUUUGAGUGAGCCACCCAGAAAAAACAUUUCCCAAAGGCUUCCCGGCACCAACAAUUGUGUAAUUUCUUCUAAGCAUCACAACUCACUCUAUCUAGUUUGUCUAACCAAUAGAGUGUGGAUAUCAGUCAUGUACCACAUGACCAUACAUUUUCGUCACUUAAAGGCAAAUUGUAGUCUAAUUGCGAGACUGCUCAAGUGGGAACGCGGAGGAGGACACAGAGAAAGAGGAACACCAUCACUUAAGAUGCAGACUUAUUUUGUAGAUAUUGAACUGCGUGUGCUCUGAGUAGCUUGGCAACAUGAGAGGUUGCACAGCGGUGUGUAACAUACUGCUGCGUAUUAACUGCUGAACUCCGUGUGGGUGUUGAGGGGAACCUGUGAAUAGCAGUGAGUUGGCUGCAAUGCCAUUGGAACAAAAACCCACAUGUGGGAAAAGGCGUCCAUUGCAUCGCUCCCCUCAAUGUUAUGUGAAAAUGAGGUCAUUGUUAAAUGAGCCUGGACUGUUGAAAGCAGUUUUGGUAAUUGCAGGUUGUGAGUGAUUGGAGAACAGACGCGUGCAGGGAAACAUAAAACAAAGGCUUUUCUUUAAAGUUCAGAGCUUUAUUGGUAGUUUAAAAAAAAAACGCAGGAGAAUGCAGCAAAAAGCCCGACACUAUAAAAAGGGAGAGGCCAUAAUGGAACACAAAGUAGUGUGGACUAUAGACGCUCAUUAAACUACUAGUUAACAUAAUGUGGCAAGCCCAUGGGUGGGGGCCUCCACGUGACGGUUCAAGGACUCAAGUCAGUGACAGAGAGCAGUGGAACACAGUUUAUUUGUAAUCAAUCGAGUGUGUAGGAGGAUACGCUCCCCUCGUAACACGUUCUCGACGUCGUCCUGUCCCAGGUCCUACACAGGGGGGGUCAGCUAGUCCAGGUCAAUCCCGAUACUCUUACCCCUCGUUCAGUCUUCUUUUUCUCUCCUUUCCACAUCUUCUCUAUCCCCUCUCUCGUUUUUCCACCCCGUUCAGUGGUUUGUUCCCCUUCUUCCCUGGAUGACUCAACUGCUUCCACUCUCUCCUCGUUAGGCCGGAGGUCCCAACAAGGCUCGGGGGUAUAUGGUAAAUGGUCUGUACUUGUAUAGCGCAUUCACCCAUUCACACCCACCCAUACACUGAUGACAGGAGAACCAUAGACAGUGACACCUGCCCAUCAGUAACUAACAUUCACACACUGUAGUUGCAGCUACAGGAGCAAUGUUGGGUUAAGUGUCUUGCCCAAGGACACAUCAACAUGCGGGUUAGCAGAGCCGGGGAUCGAACCGACAACCCACGGAGAACGACCGUGCUCCCCACUCACCCACAGUCGCCCUUGGAGGGGUGGAGCCAUCUGGCCGCAAUAUACCUCCCCUCCAACAUUAACGCCCUCACCUCUCCCUGUAAUCUACCACAAUAACCAGAUCGUCUGACAGCGGUUGGGUGAACGCUUGGGGCUUAAGGAGUAGUGGGAGCGAAUGAAUGAAUACGGAUGUCGGGGGAAAAAACAGGCAGGAAACUAAACAAAGACAGGAAGUAACUGAUGAGCUGAUCAAUAAACAGAUCAGGCAUGUUGGAUGCCGCCUGAGCUCCUCUGGGCCCUCCUUUUCCUCUAAUACAGAUGCUUUCUUCAAUCAAUGAAUCUUUUUUUUUUCAUUUGAAUUUAAAAUAAUAGGGACUUCUGUCGAAAGCAAGCGUGAUGCAGCUUCAGCAGAAACACAUUUCACGAUGAUGCUUCUUCAGGAUAUUAGUGAACGUUUUUGGGAACCAUCAUCCUUGGGAACACUCUUGAUAAUGGAGACCCUCGAACAGCUUCAUGGUCACAAGCCAGGGUUGGAGAGGAGCUGAAGGGCAGGCUUCCAUGGAAUCACAGCUGUGUGUGUUUGCUCGCAUGUGAUCCAACACUGAACUGUGCAGAAUGUCCAAAGGAAAACAUUUGAUGUCAAAGUAAUCACUUGCUUUAUUAUGCAACUCACAAAUGCCCUCAUCUAAGGAAGCCACGUGCUGUUUGAUGUCUUUUUAACGAUCUCUGUUCACAUACUGGAACUAUAGGAGGAUAUUCAGAAUAUUACCAUGGUAACCAGGAACAUGCUAGAAAACCACAUCAUUGUUCUUCCAACGUUUCCUUUGAUGUAUAUUGUUAGCAUAGCCAAUAAUAUGCAUAGCUGAUGUAUAUUUUCCUGCAAUUAAAAAUUUACUGCAAAUAUAUAUUAUAACAAUUAAGCAAAAGCACAUUUUUUUUGUAAAUUAUAUUUUGAUAAAAUUAUUAUCAAAAUCCGAGUUUGGUUAUACAUUGCAUUGCACUUGACAUGUUUUUACCCCCCCACACACACACUUUACUUCCUACCCCCAAAUCCCCCCCAACACAGAAAAAAUCACUAAGCCUCAAUCGCCAAAAAGCGCAUUAGUAUAUAUGUGGCUUAAGUAUUCACAAAUUACAUAAUUCAUAGGUAGUACAGACAACCAGAAACAAAGAGUGGAUCAUACAUGACCAUUAUGGGUCCAAUGAGAGAGUCUUCAUAUUAUCAGUAUAAGUAUUGUAUGAUCGAGCCACAAGUGGAUUUGCAGUGAAACGUCAUUUUCUCCAACUUUAAAAAGACCACCAGGUCCUUUGCCCACAUGGAGGAGUUGGGAGGGCGAGGUGACGAGCGAAAGCACAUUUAACAAAAAAUUGAAGUUGGAUCAAACAUGUUAGAAAAGUGUCUGCAGACAUCAGACAGUGGCUGAUACUGUAACACAUUGUGAGUAACUGCCCCCUAGUGGCUGAGGACAUUAAACUGGACUGCAUUAACUUAAGUAACAGCAAAUUGAAAAAAAUAAGGUUCUACUUUGAUGCUUCAAGUGUGUUUAACUGUAUUUUUACUUGAGAAUAUGAAUAUUUUUAUAUCUUCCAUCACUACACCUGUCACCAACAUUUUGUGUUCAGAGAUACUAAAUCUCUUUGAAUCUUUCUCCAACGCCACAUUCAGUGGUGGUUUGGCUCCAUCUAAAGUAUGAGGCUUGUCACUGAGAGAGAAAUGAUGGAAAGAAAAGGAAAGAGAGGGAGAGUAAUCCGACAUGCGACUCACUCAAAGACCAGAAUUCUGUAUUUAUACAGCCGGAGGGCAAUGCAGCAAAACACAUGAAACUGUGCUUUGCGCUUUGAAAAUCAGACUCUCCAAUUUAUUUAUUUUAAUUUGAUCUCCUACUUUCAACAGUUAUUUGUAAUCAUUGUUUUUUAACUUACCAAUAACACAUUUUUUUUAAAUAUACAAAGAACAUAUAGGAAAGCUUUAAGGCAAUAAACCACUGAAUUGAAAUAGGUUUGUGACUAUGAGAGUACUACUGUGUAAAAAGUACAACUGAACACAAACCUUUUUAUUAAUCAUGUGAUGUAUUUGCAUCGUGUCCGAGCCAAAUAUUUACUUGCUGUCCAUUUCUGUUUGGCCACAUUGCGUGUGUGUGUGUGUGUGUGUGUUGCAAACAGGCUUCAUGAAACACGUCAGCGAGGAGCCCAGUGAGCAGCGGUGGAACUUAUCGUGUCGUGAUCCAAUAGCAGCAGGACAUUUGUCUCCAGCUUGGGAGUACAUCAGGCUGCUGGUGACCAAAGCAGCAGUGUCGGAAAGUGAUGUGCAAUAAGGCAGCGGAGCAAAGGAGGGAAAUGACUGACCAUGAAAGAAACAUUGCAUCCAGUUUUUCCAAAAUUGUUGCUUUUUACUGAAUCUAUGGGAAGGUAACGUGUUUGCUUAUGUGUGUAUCUCUUGUCGGCUCACUGCUAAUCUUACAGAAGAAAGUUUUGAAAAAACGUAUCCUGUGGUUUUUAUUGACAGCUCACUCUUCC
ensembl:lncRNA